GCAAAGUCACACCUGAAUCUGGUGAUGGCCAAAUCAAUAAUAAAUAACGAAUACGAUCAAGGGCUGCCAGUGGUUGAGCGGUAACACGGGC
rnacentral:tRNA from 1 species